GAGGAAUAUUGGUCAAUGGGCGCGAGCCUGAACCAGCCAAGUAGCGUGAAGGAUGAAGGUCCUAUGGAUUGUAAACUUCUUUUAUAGCAGAAUAAAGUGACCCACGUGUGGGUUUUUGUAUGCAUGCUAUGAAUAAGGAUCGGCUAACUCCGUGCCAGCAGCCGCGGUAAUACGGAGGAUCCGAGCGUUAUCCGGAUUUAUUGGGUUUAAAGGGUGCGUAGGCGGAAAGAUAAGUCAGCCUGUGAAAGUUUGCGGCUCAACCGUAAAAUUGCAGUUGAUACUGUUUUUCUUGAGUGUACAUAAGGUAGGCGGAAUUCGUGGUGUAGCGGUGAAAUGCUUAGAUAUCACGAAGAACUCCGAUUGCGAAGGCAGCUUACCGGGGUACAACUGACGCUGAUGCACGAAAGUGUGGGUAUCAAACA
rnacentral:rRNA from 1 species